rnacentral:tRNA from 1 species
GGGGGUAUAGCUCAGUAGUAGAGCACAUGCUUAGCAGGCACAAGGUCCUGAGUUCAAUUCCCAGGACCUCCA